GAUGAACGCUGGCGGCGUGCCUAAUACAUGCAAGUCGAGCGAACAGACGAGGAGCUUGCUCCUCUGACGUUAGCGGCGGACGGGUGAGUAACACGUGGAUAACCUACCUAUAAGACUGGGAUAACUUCGGGAAACCGGAGCUAAUACGGGAUAAUAUAUUGAACCGCAUUGUUCACUAGUUAAAGACGGUUUUGCUGUCACUUAUAGAUGGAUCCGCGCCGCAUUAGCUAGUUGGUAAGGUAACGGCUUACCAAGGCAACGAUGCGUAGCCGACCUGAGAGGGUGAUCAGCUACACUGGAACUGAGACACGGUCCAGACUCCGACGGGAGGCAGCAGUAGGGAAUCUUCCGCAAGGGGCGAAAGCCUGACGGAGCAACGCCGCGUGAGUGAUGAAGGUCUUCGGAUCGGAAAACUCUGUUAGUAGGGAAGAACAAAUGUGUAAGUAACGAUGCACGUCUUGACGGUACCUAAUCAGAAAGCCACGGCUAACUACGUG
rnacentral:rRNA from 1 species